GAUGAACGCUGGCGGCGUGCUUAACACAUGCAAGUCGAACGGUGAAUGAAGGAGCUUGCUCCUUCCGGAUCAGUGGCGAACGGGUGGGUAACACGUGAGCAAUCUGCCCCGAACUCUGGGAUAAGCGCUGGAAACGGCGUCUAAUACCGGAUACGACGCGCGAAGGCAUCUUCUGCGCGUGGAAAGAAUUUCGGUUCGGGAUGAGCUCGCGGCCUAUCAGCUAGUUGGUGAGGUAACGGCUCACCAAGGCGACGACGGGUAGCCGGCAUGAGAGGGUGACCGGCCACACUGGGAGUGAGACACGGCCCAGACUCCUACGGGAGGCAGCAGUGGGGAAUAUUGCACAAUGGGCGAAAGCCUGAUACAGCAACGCCGCGUGAGGGACGACGGCCUUCGGGUUGUAAACCUCUUUUAGUAGGGAAGAAGCGAAAGUGACGGUACCUGCAGAAAAAGCACCGGCUAACUACGUGCCAGCAGCCGCCGUAAGAC
rnacentral:rRNA from 1 species